UACAGCCAUAUCAUGUUAAAACACUGGUUCUCAUACAAUCACUGAAGUUAAGCAACAUAAAGCCUGAUCAGUAUCUUGAUGGGUAACUUCUUAGGAAUACCUCAUGCUGUAAU